GACGAACCGUGCGAACGUUGUUCGGAAUCACUGGGCUUAAAGGGCGCGUAGGCGGUUCAUCAAGUCAGGGGUGAAAUCUUUCGGCUCAACCGGAAAAGUGCCCCUGAUACUGGUGAUCUCGAGGGAGGUAGGGGCCUGUGGAACUUCUGGUGGAGCGGUGAAAUGCGUUGAUAUCAGAAGGAACGCCGGUGGCGAAAGCGACGGGCUGGAUCUCUUCUGACGCUGAGGCGCGAAAGCUAGGGGAGCAAACGGG
rnacentral:rRNA from 1 species